UAUUAAACUAUGAUGAAGAGAGUAAGUUUAAAAUAUUUUUAAGAGAGUGUAGGUCUUUGGCUGAAAGCCUACUAAAAUAUUUUAUACUGAAGUUCACUUCUGAGUUCUAAAAGUGAAAUAAUAGUAGCUUUUAGCGAUACAGUAUCGAUAAAUACUGACUAAGAGAAUAUAAAUUUUUAUUUAUAUUAAUUAGGGUGGUACCGCGGAUUUAGUUCGUCCCUUUU
rnacentral:ncRNA from 1 species